rnacentral:misc_RNA from 1 species
AGAAGUGACAAAGAACUUGCUGGUACUGCUUUUGAUCAAGAGAUCCUUGAGCACAAAUUAAUUCCAGUGGCAGGUUGUGAUGAAUUAGAUGCAGUUUCCCUCAAUGACAGUUCAAAUAAUCAACCAGAAGAGGAUUCAUUUAUGUUUGAAGGGAUAAAUGAAGGAGCUUCUCAAGUACAAAGUUGGCAGUUAAUGGAUGAUGGCUUCAGUAACUGUGUCCAUAAUUCCUUGAAUUCUAGUGACUAUAUAUCUCAAUCCACUGUAGAUCCUGUAAAGAAUGCUCCAGUUCCUAACAACGAAACAGUCAACAACCAUUGCCUGCAAGAUGUUCAAGACUGCAAUCACACUAAACUGACGGCACUGGACCUUCGAAGAGAUGAUUUUCAUUAUCAUAGCGUUCUCUCAUCUAUCUUAAAGACCUCCCAUCCAUUAA